rnacentral:sRNA from 1 species
GCCGCACGUGGACAGCGGAGGUGCUGCGCCUAGCCACAGAUCACGGGCUCCGGCGCUGCGUCUCCAGGCACAGGGAGCCGCCAGGAAGGGCAGGAGAGCGCGCUCGGGCCAGGGCCAGGCCCCAGCCGCCUCCGGCUCGCUCCCCUCCGCUGGGCUCCCGCUCCAUGGCUCCGCGGCCACCGCCGCCCAUGCCGCCCUCCGGUCCGGAGGGGCCUUGCCGCAGCCGGUUCGAACACUCGGCGAAGGAGUAAGCAGCGCCUCCGCCUCCGCGCCGGCCGCCCCCACGCCCCCAGGAAGGCCGAGGCAGGAGAGGCAGGAGGGAGGAAACAGGAGCGAGCAGGAACGGGGCUCCGGUUGCUGCAGAACGGUCCAGCCCGGAGGAGCCUGCGCCCCGGGCAGCGGCGGGCGGCGCCGCCGGGUUGCUCGGAGCUCAGGCCCAGCGGCUGCAGGGAGGCGUCUCGGAACCCCGGGAGGCCCCCCGCACCUGCCCGCGGCCGACUCCGCGGACUCACCUGGCUCCUGGCUCCCCAUUCCCCAUCCCCGCCGCCGCAGCCCGAGGGGGGCUCCGCGGGCCUGGAGCACGGCCGGGUCUAAUAUGCCCGGAGCCGAGGCGCGAUGAAGGAGAAGUCCAAGAAUGCGGCCAAGACCAGGAGGGAGAAGGAAAAUGGCGAGUUUUACGAGCUGGCCAAGCUGCUCCCGCUGCCGUCGGCCAUCACCUCGCAGCUGGACAAAGCGUCCAUCAUCCGCCUCACCACGAGCUACCUGAAGAUGCGCGCCGUCUUCCCCGAAGGUUUAGGAGACGCGUGGGGACAGCCGAGCCGCGCCGGGCCCCUGGACAGCGUCGCCAAGGAGCUGGGAUCGCACUUGCUGCAGGUAGAGCGGCCGCGCCAGGGGAGAAGCGCAGCCGCCGCAGGCUCCCUUCCGACCCCGCCACCCCAGCCUCCAGGCCCCCCUUCCCCAGGAGCGCCAGGCAGAUCCAGAGGCUGCCGGGGGCUGGGGAUGGGGUGGUCCCCACUGCGGAGGGAUGAACGCUUAGCAUGUCGGGAUGCGGCCUGCGGCCAACCCUACCCUAACCCUACAUCUGCCCCCACACCCCGCCGAAGGCCCCAGGACUCCCCAGGCCACCUGAGACCUCGGCCAGGGGCGCCUCCCGAGCGUGGUCAAGUCCUUUCCAAUCUCACUUCCCUCGGCAGGUUCCACCCAGCGCUUGCUCUGUGCCAGGCGCCAGGGCUGGAGCAGCAGAAAUGAUCGGGCUGCUCUGAGCUCUAAAGCAUUCGGCCUCUGCGUGUGUGCAGGGGGCGCAAGGACGGAGAGACAGCAUCAAUAAUAGAAAAUUAACAGGGGCACUUGUCCAGAGCUUACUGCAGGACAAAUUCAGUUCCGGACCUUAUUGGCUUCCCCCUCCCAUCUAGAGUGGAUUCUGGUUUUUUUAUUUGUUUUGUUUUGUUUUUUGUUUGUUUGUUUGUUUUUGAGACGGAGCCUCACUCUGUGGGCCAGGCUGGAGUGCAAUGGCGCGAUCUCGGCUCACUCCAACCUCCGCCUCCCGGGUUCAAGCGAUUCUCCCCCUUCAGCCUCCCGAGUAGCCAGGAUUGCAGGCACCCGCCAUCAUGCCUGGCUAAUUUUUGUAGAGACGGGGUUUCACCCAGGCUGGUCUCGAACUCCUGACCUCCGAUGAUCCGCCCACCUCAGCCUCCCAAAGUGUUGGGACUACAGGCGUGAGCCAAUGCGUCCUGCCUGGGUUCUGUUUUUAACUCCAUUUUUUAGAGGAGGAAAUUGAGGCACAGAGAGGUUAAAUAACAUGUCUAAGGUCACACAGCAAGCGGUGGAGCGGAGUUAACCCAUUGGCCUAGCUCUAGAGCCCACCCGGAUAACCAGAACUUGGUGAGGCCUCCGGGCUCUUGCUUGGUUUGAAGCCAGGUGCUUAGCGCCCCGAGCCCGGGGCCAUUCACCCUGCAAGAGCUGCACGCGCCCCUGACCUCGGCUUUUCCCUGGCAGCAGAGGGGCUUUGCGGGUCGGCCGGGUAGCCCUGAGCACAGCUCGCCACUUCCAGGUGGGCGGUUGGCGCUGGCUGGGGACACAUCCCGAUCUUUCAAAUGCCCUUUACAGAGCCUCAUCAACGACCCGAUUCAUUCCCCCCUCCUGUCAUUUGUCUCUGCCAUCGAAAAAUGCCUACCGAGAGCUGCUCUGCAUUUCCGCCCUCUAUUUUGUGUUUUACUUUAAAAUAAUAUUAAAAAAAAG